GAUGGACGCUAGCGACAGGCCUAACACAUGCAAGUCGAGGGGUAACAGGGAGCUUGCUCCGCUGACGACCGGCGCACGGGUGAGUAACGCGUAUGCAACCUACCCAUAGGAGGGGGAUAACCCGGAGAAAUUCGGACUAACACCGCAUAAUAAGAUUUAGAGGCAUCUUUAGAUUUUUAAAUAUUUAUAGCUUAUGGAUGGGCAUGCGUCUGAUUAGAUAGUUGGUGAGGUAACGGCUCACCAAGUCUACGAUCAGUAGGGGUUCUGAGAGGAAGGUCCCCCACACUGGUACUGAGACACGGACCAGACUCCUACGGGAGGCAGCAGUGAGGAAUAUUGGUCAAUGGGCGAGAGCCUGAACCAGCCAAGUCGCGUGAAGGAAGACGGCCCUAUGGGUUGUAAACUUCUUCUGUAUGAGGGUAAAAUGGUCUACGUGUAGAUUAUUGCAAGUAUCAUACGAAUAAGGAUCGGCUAACUCCGUGCCAGCCGCCGCGGUAAUAC
rnacentral:rRNA from 1 species